CUGCAAUAAGGUGGCUAAUACCAGCACCAACAGGAAAGAAUAAGGAAGAAACAGGUUACAUGAUUUACCGACAGGCUCUCAAGGGGACAAACCCGUUGGCAUGCUUAGCCCCCUUUGGUAUCUUCGCUUUCAUCAGGAGAGUUCCAGAAAGCAGCUCUGGGAGCGGGUCGUGAGAGGAUAAUCUGUAUGAUCCCACGCAAGGCAAGGAGACAAACAGCUUUGCUCCAGAAGGGAUGUUGGGAGGAUGUCAGUUUUCUAGGCACUGAUCAUAUGGAAAGUAAAUAUUUGAAACAGAAGAUUAAAAUGCUCGAAGAAGAAACCAUUGGAACAAAGGAUUGUUGGCUACCAAGCAACCUUGUUGCAAGUGAGAGCAUACAGGAAGGCUAUUUGCUCCGUGCCCGCUUUUCCUGUGGGGGAAUGCGUUCGCCUUUCCCAGCUCUCUGAGCAGAACCUUAAUCCAGGUUCCAUGCACCAUGUUUAGCUUACAGCGAUAUUAAAU
rnacentral:lncRNA from 1 species